rnacentral:rRNA from 1 species
UUAGUAAGCGGAGGAAAAGAAACUAACAAGGAUUCCCCGAGUAACGGCGAGCGAAAGGGGAGGAGCCCAGCGCUGAAUCCCUCGGUCCUGCAGGGCCGACGGGAAAUGUAGCGUAUAGGAGGGUCGCUUCUCCCGGAUCUCCGCGGCCGGUCCAAGUCCCUCUUGAACGGGGCCACGGUCCUAAGAAGGUGCCAGGCCUGUGGGAUGGUUGCGGGUUCCGGGAAGACCUUUCCUUGGAGUCGGGUUGCUUGAGAGUGCAGCCCUAAGCAGGUGGUAAACUCCAUCUAAGGCUAAAUACAACCACGAGACCGAUAGCAAACAAGUACCGUGAGGGAAAGUUGAAAAGAACUUUGAAGAGAGAGUUCAAGAGUACGUGAAACCGUUCUGGGGUAAACGGGUGGAGCCCUAAAGGUCGAAAGAGGAGAUUCAGUAUCCAGUCCUCCUGCCGCUCCGGGUCGUUGGGUAAAUUCCGAGUCGCCUCGCAAGGGGUUGUGCUCGGGGCCCUCGGCCCGGGUAUGCGCGUGGGCGGUGGAGCGCACUUCUCCUCGAGUAGGACGCCGCGACCCGUUAGGUGUCGACCUAAGGCUCGGGUGCGAGCCCACUUCGCGGUUCGCCGCGAGGCGGAGCCCCGAUGUCCCGGCCGACUGCCCGACGGUAGUUUUGUGGAAAAGGCCCGCGUGCUUUCAGCUCGCGCGCGUGCCCCGUGCAAGCGUUCGGCCGGACCCUGUCGUACGGACUUGUCCGUCGCAGACCGGUUGGCGCUGUUGGCGCGGGGACUUCUCGCGCAGUGGCCUGCUCCCGUUUGCGGCGCUCGAAACUGGGCGGCCCACCCGGCCCGUCUUGAAACACGGACCAAGGAGUCUAACAUGUGCGCGAGUCACUGGGUAUUACUAAACCCAAGGGCGAAUUGAACGAAAAGGUCGGCUUCGUGCCGGCUUAGGGAAGAUGGAGGCCCCUUGUGGGUCUCUCGCAUUCCCGGGGCGUCUCGUCCUACCUCCGCUUGUCGGUCGAAGGUGAGGCGCACCAAGAGCGCACACGUUGGGACCCGAAAGAUGGUGAACUAUGCCUGGCCAGGACGAAGUCAGGGGAAACCCUGAUGGAGGUCCGUAGCGAUUCUGACGUGCAAAUCGAUCGUCGGAGCUGGGUAUAGGGGCGAAAGACUAAUCGAACCAUCUAGUAGCUGGUUCCCUCCGAAGUUUCCCUCAGGAUAGCUGGCGCUCGUAGGACCGAGUCCCAUCCGGUAAAGCGAAUGAUUAGAGGCCUUGGGGUCGAAACGACCUCAACCUAUUCUCAAACUUUAAAUGGGUGGGAACCGGGGCUUGUUUGAACGUGAAGCCUCGGACCUUGGAUCGGAGUGCCCAGUGGGCCACUUUUGGUAAGCAGAACUGGCGCUGUGGGAUGAACCAAACGCCGGGUUAAGGCGCCUGAACGACGCUCAUCCGAAACCAUGAAAGGUGUUGGUUGCUUAAGACAGCAGGACGGUGGCCAUGGAAGUCGGAAUCCGCUAAGGAGUGUGUAACAACUCACCUGCCGAAGCAACUAGCCCUGAAAAUGGAUGGCGCUGAAGCGUCGUGCCUAUACCCGGCCGCCGGUGGCAGAAGGCGAUCGUCUUCGGGCGUUCGCUGCAAAGCCCCGGUGAGUAGGAGGGUCGCGACGGUGAGCGCAGAAGGGUCUGGGCGUGAGCCUGCCUGGAGCCGCCGUCGGUGCAGAUCUUGGUGGUAGUAGCAAAUACUCCAGCGAGGCCCUGGAGGGCUGAUGUGGAGAAGGGUUCCGUGUGAACAGCCGUUGCACACGGGUCAGUCGAUCCUAAGCCCUCGGAGAAAUCCGAUGUCGAUGGUCGUGGGAUGUUCGAAAAACUUUAGCUCGAGUCCCUGCGCUCGUCGAUCGCUUCGCGGUGUUAUCGCCGAUCUGUCCGUAUGCUCUUCUUCCCGAACGAGGUGGUCGUACCCUCUUGAUUGUUUGCGGGUCGUAGCAGUCUAGCCUUCCAGUAAGGGAAGGACCACUCCUCCAAACUCUCAACGUCUCCUUCCCGAACGGGGUAGUAGUAAUACUACUUGCCAGUAGGGGGGAAAACAGAGAGUAACGGUGGUCGUUGGUUCUUCUUCCCGAACGAGGCGCCGCUGCUACAAAAUACCCGUAGCAUCAGACGGUGUGCGUGUUCACUUGCCAGUAGGGGAAGAGUUUGAACGAAACGGCAGAAACCGCCGUGCGACACCGCGCGCGACUCGUUCGUGUUGCAGUCUCUUGGAUUCGCGGGUUGAACUAUGAACCCCGUCCGUUGGGCGAAAGGGAAUCCGGUUCCUAUUCCGGAACCCGGUUGCGGAACCGCUCUCUCGAUCCUCGUAUUGACACGGUAACGUGAAUGACCCCAGAGAAGCCGUCUGGAGCCCCGGGAAGAGUUUUCUUUUCUGCAUGAGCGCUCGGGUUCCAUGGAAUCCUCUCGUAGGGAGAUAUGGAAUGGAGCGCGAAGAGCACCGCAGUUACUGUGGUGUCCGGGGAGUCCCGUCGGUCCUUGAAAAUCUGGGUGAGGGUCACGUGGAGGCGCCGCACCGGCUCGUACCCAUAUCCGCAGCAGGUCUCCGAGGUCAAUAGCCUCUAGUCGAUAGACU